rnacentral:misc_RNA from 1 species
AAGAAUUGAUCAAAGCUUCUUGUAUACUGGAUAAGUUUUUAGACUCCUUUUAUUCAAGAACAAGAAUAUGAUUUGCUAAUAUAAUCGACUUUUUAAGAUUUCCCCAAUGCAACACCAACAAGUCAAGUUUUUAGCCUUUGGAUUUAACUUGAGUGAUAAAAGGUAGAACCAAAAUAUGUGUGAGUGAGUGAUGGGUUCUGACUUUCGAGUGAACUAUCAUUACAUCAGCUACUGAUGAAAUGCAACUGUAAAAGAUGCUAAAUAAGUUAGAAACCUAAAUAAAUCUUUUCACUUGAUGCUAAUGUUAUCAUUCAAUGUUGAAACUUGAAAGUACUCAGGAUGAUUUAUAAAUAGUUCUUCCUUUAGCACUUCUUCUUGAAGUAGCGCUCUCAAGACAUGAACAACAUAUUUGUGCAUGCUAGUCGUACCCUAAUCUCCUACUGAA